rnacentral:rRNA from 1 species
GGUUAAGCGACUAAGCGUACACGGUGGAUGCCCUGGCAGUCAGAGGCGAUGAAGGGCGUGCUAAUCUGCGAUAAGCGCCGGUAAGGUGAUAUGAACCGUUAUAACCGGCGAUACCCGAAUGGGGAAACCCAGUGUGAUUCGUCACACUAUCAUUAACUGAAUCCAUAGGUUAAUGAGGCGAACCGGGGGAACUGAAACAUCUAAGUACCCCGAGGAAAAGAAAUCAACCGAGAUUCCCCCAGUAGCGGCGAGCGAACGGGGAGGAGCCCAGAGCCUGAAUCAGCAUGUGUGUUAGUGGAAGCGUCUGGAAAGGCGCGCGAUACAGGGUGACAGCCCCGUACACAAAAGCGCAUGUGCUGUGAGCUCGAUGAGUAGGGCGGGACACGUGGUAUCCUGUCUGAAUAUGGGGGGACCAUCCUCCAAGGCUAAAUACUCCUGACUGACCGAUAGUGAACCAGUACCGUGAGGGAAAGGCGAAAAGAACCCCGGCGAGGGGAGUGAAAAAGAACCUGAAACCGUGUACGUACAAGCAGUGGGAGCACCCUUUUGGGUGUGACUGCGUACCUUUUGUAUAAUGGGUCAGCGACUUAUAUUCUGUAGCAAGGUUAACCGAAUAGGGGAGCCGGAGGGAAACCGAGUCUUAAUUGGGCGUUAAGUUGCAGGGUAUAGACCCGAAACCCGGUGAUCUAGCCAUGGGCAGGUUGAAGGUUGGGUAACACUAACUGGAGGACCGAACCGACUAAUGUUGAAAAAUUAGCGGAUGACCUGUGGCUGGGGGUGAAAGGCCAAUCAAACCGGGAGAUAGCUGGUUCUCCCCGAAAGCUAUUUAGGUAGCGCCUCGUGAAUUCAUCUCCGGGGGUAGAGCACUGUUUCGGCUAGGGGGCCAUCCCGGCUUACCAACCCGAUGCAAACUGCGAAUACCGGAGAAUGUUAUCACGGGAGACACACGGCGGGUGCUAACGUCCGUCGUGAAGAGGGAAACAACCCAGACCGCCAGCUAAGGUCCCAAAGUCAUGGUUAAGUGGGAAACGAUGUGGGAAGGCCCAGACAGCCAGGAUGUUGGCUUAGAAGCAGCCAUCAUUUAAAGAAAGCGUAAUAGCUCACUGGUCGAGUCGGCCUGCGCGGAAGAUGUAACGGGGCUAAACCAUGCACCGAAGCUGCGGCAGCGACGUUUAUGCGUUGUUGGGUAGGGGAGCGUUCUGUAAGCCUGCGAAGGUGGCCUGUGAGGGUUGCUGGAGGUAUCAGAAGUGCGAAUGCUGACAUAAGUAACGAUAAAGCGGGUGAAAAGCCCGCUCGCCGGAAGACCAAGGGUUCCUGUCCAACGUUAAUCGGGGCAGGGUGAGUCGACCCCUAAGGCGAGGCCGAAAGGCGUAGUCGAUGGGAAACGGGUUAAUAUUCCCGUACUUGGUGUUACUGCGAAGGGGGGACGGAGAAGGCUAUGUUGGCCGGGCGACGGUUGUCCCGGUUUAAGCGUGUAGGCUGGUUUUCCAGGCAAAUCCGGAAAAUCAAGGCUGAGGCGUGACGACGAGGCACUACGGUGCUGAAGCAACAAAUGCCCUGCUUCCAGGAAAAGCCUCUAAGCAUCAGGUAACAUCAAAUCGUACCCCAAACCGACACAGGUGGUCAGGUAGAGAAUACCAAGGCGCUUGAGAGAACUCGGGUGAAGGAACUAGGCAAAAUGGUGCCGUAACUUCGGGAGAAGGCACGCUGACACGUAGGUGAAGUGAUUUACUCAUGGAGCUGAAGUCAGUCGAAGAUACCAGCUGGCUGCAACUGUUUAUUAAAAACACAGCACUGUGCAAACACGAAAGUGGACGUAUACGGUGUGACGCCUGCCCGGUGCCGGAAGGUUAAUUGAUGGGGUCAGCGCAAGCGAAGCUCCUGAUCGAAGCCCCGGUAAACGGCGGCCGUAACUAUAACGGUCCUAAGGUAGCGAAAUUCCUUGUCGGGUAAGUUCCGACCUGCACGAAUGGCGUAAUGAUGGCCAGGCUGUCUCCACCCGAGACUCAGUGAAAUUGAACUCGCUGUGAAGAUGCAGUGUACCCGCGGCAAGACGGAAAGACCCCGUGAACCUUUACUAUAGCUUGACACUGAACAUUGAGCCUUGAUGUGUAG